GGCUGCGAUUUUAGUUCCCCGCCGAAAAUCGCCUCCAAAACUUCGAUCGACGAUUUCUUCCUCCUCCGGCCAUCGAUCCUCACCAAACUUCUUCCAUUGGCUUCGUAUGGUCCUUGCGCACCUGUCUGUGGCAGCCUUUCACGGCGGCGCGGCCUGUAGCGGCGGCGGCAAGCCCGGUCCGAUUUAAGCUCGAUUUUGGUCAACGCCGGUUUUCUCCUAGCUCCGGCCACCAAAACUUCCGAUCCUUGGCUCCAUGAACUCCCCUCAACCUGCUGAUCAUCAUACUAGGAGGAUUGCACCUAGAGUGACCGGUUUCACGUUCGUCGGAGCUCGUGGGUUCCCCUUGAUGUUAUUAACAACUCUCUAGAAGGCAUCGAGGCCUGAAAUUGAAGCUUUGACGUCGAAAUCGAGCCUUGCCGGAUUCUGCAAAAUUCUGGAAUUUUUCCGACCACCAAAGCUUUCGAUCGGUAUAUCUCGAGCUACAGACCAUAUUUUUCUGUGAUUCUUGAACCAGUGAGUUCUUCUUGAGUUUCUUAACAACUCUUCAGAAGGAAUCGAAGCCUUAAAUUGACGUUUUUACGUCGAAUUGGAGCUCGCCGUUUUCUGCAGUUUCUCGCCGGUUUCUGGAAAAUUCCGGCCACCUUCAUACUGUUCAAGUGGCUUUGUGUGGUCAUGGGCGAAGAUCCGACCGUUGGAUCUUCGUAUAAUUGAGAAAUGGUGAUUCGGAAGGCGAUUCGUGAGAAUCCGACCGUCAGAUUUUCAUAUAAUUUUGUGGAGAUGUUUGUAAGGAUGAUUCGAGAAGAUCUGACCGUUGGAUCUUCAUUAUAAUUUUGGAGGAUGAUCCUAAGGGCGAUCCGUGAGGAUCUGACCGUUGGAUCAUCAUUAAAUUAAGAUUCGACCGUCGGAUCAUCAUAUAAUUAGAAUCCGACCGUUGGAUUUCAGUAUAUGUGUGGUUUAUGAGUAAUUUACUAAGUCAAGAUAGUAUCUGAUUAGGUGAUUGACGAAUCGAGUUGGUGGACGAUUCAGAUGGAUAUGUGGCUUUUAGAAGACGCAGCUGGAAUUGGAGCGGGUAAUCCUACAGGACAGGAGAACCAGGACGGUGAUCGUGCGGUUAAAGCAAUUGUUAGAGUUUUACAGCAAUUGUAAGUUGUGAGGUGUGUUAUGCUCAUUUGAGCUUUACAAUAUUGCUUGUGAGAGUGGA